rnacentral:rRNA from 1 species
GUACGGGAGGCAGCAGUCGAGAAUUUUUCACAAUGGGGGAAACCCUGAUGGAGCGACGCCGCGUGGGGGAUGAAUGGCUUCGGCCCGUAAACCCCUGUCAUUCGCGAUCAACCGUGGUUAUUUAAAAGAUGGCCACCUGAUAGUAGCGGAAGAGGAAGGGACGGCUAACUCUGUGCCAGCAGCCGCGGUAAUACAGAGGUCCCGAGCGUUGUUCGGAUUCACUGGGCGUAAAGGGUGCGUAGGUGGUGAGGUAAGUCGGAUGUGAAAUACUGGAGCUCAACUCCGGAACGGCAUUGGAAACUACCUUGCUGGAGGGUUGGAGGGGGGACUGGAAUUCUCGGUGUAGCAGUGAAAUGCGUAGAUAUCGAGAGGAACACCGGUGGCGAAGGCGAGUCCCUGGACAACACCUGACACUGAGGCACGAAAGCUAGGGGAGCAAACAGGAUUAGAUACCCCGGU